rnacentral:rRNA from 1 species
UACAGAGGGGGCAAGCGUUAUUCGGAAUUAUUGGGCGUAAAGGGCGCGUAGGCGGCUUUGCAAGUGACGGGUGAAAUCCCACGGCUUAACCGUGGAACUGCCUGUCAGACUGCAUGGCUUGAGACCAGGAGAGGUGAGUGGAAUUCCCAGUGUAGCGGUGAAAUGCGUAGAUAUUGGGAGGAACACCAGUGGCGAAGGCGGCUCACUGGACUGGUACUGACGCUGAGGCGCGAAAGCUAGGGGAGCAAACGGG